UAACAUUAAAACAUUUAACUUGACUCCUAAGCGAGAGCGUCUCUCUGCACUGCUCCAGCUCCAUCUUCAUGAGGCUGACAAAGCUCCUUAAUUUGUUUCCGGGGAGCUGGUGCUUGGUAGAGACAGCUUGGCACCGCGCAGCAUGGGGGAUGCCGGGAUGCGGGGAGGCAGGAUGCUGGGAUGUGGGGAUGGAGGGAGGAAGGGUACCAGUAUGCUGUGAUAUGGGGAUGCAGGGGUGCUGGGAUGUGGGGUGGAGGGGUGCCAGGAUGGUGAGUGCUGGGAUGGUGGAGUAUGGGGAUGUGGGGAUGCAGGGUAGCUGAGGUGUGGGGUGGAAGAGUGCUGGAGUGCAGUGUUCUGGGACACCAGGAUGCAGGGAGAUGAGGACACAUGGGGAUGCAGGGGUGCUGGCACACUGGGAUAUAAGGAUGCUGGGAUGCAGGAACACAGCUUCAGGCCAGCAUGAUGCCAUGUGGGCACGGCCAGGGCCCCACACCUACAGUGCAGCCCGGAGCACGCCGGGGAAGCGAGCGAUGGCGAAGGGAGCAGUGCUGUGGGACAGCUCCUCGCCCAGGCUCAGCUCACACAGCAGCUUCCCCACCACUGGUGCCAGCUUGAACCCAUGGCCUGUGGGAAGGAGGGGAGGUUGGGGAGCACAGGCCAACUCUGGGGUGCUGGGGGGUGCUGGGUGCCCUCACCUACCCGAGAAGCCGGCCCCGAUGAUGAUGUUGCUGUACUUGGGGUGCCGGUCCAGGAUGAAAUCUCCGUCUGGGGUGUUCUGGAGGAGCCAUGGUGUGAGGAUGCAGGGCCAGGGGUGCUCUCCUGGACCCAGCAUUGUGGGAAGGCACGGCAAGGUCCAGCCUGGGGUUGGAUGCUCCAGGGGAACACUCACUGUAUAGAUGCAGGUCUCCACCACGGCUGGCCUGGGCUCCAGCCCGGGCAGGUAGCUGCUGAUGAAGCUGCUCAGGAGGGUGACAUCAGGGUGGGGGGUACCCAAAGGGGCCCAGUCACGCUCAUCGGGGUCUGUGGGGCUGCCAUGGUGGUAGCAUACCUGAGGGGGGCAGCUGGUCAGGGGGGGCUGGCUGUGGGACCCCCCUAACACCACCGUGCCCUGCUCACCUUGACCAGACCGGGGUACUCAAGGGCAGGCAGGCCGUAGAUGCCGUGUGGGGCUUGGCUCAGCCCCAUGGCCAUGAAGCAGGGACUGGCUCUGCCUGUGCUCCCAGGCUCCUUCUCCUUCCAGUAGCAGACGUUGAUGCGCAGGGGCUGGGGUCACAGUAUUAGCCCUGGCCAUGGCUGUGCCACCCCAUGGUUGCCACCAGCCCUCACCUGCAGUGGCAGGCGGAGACCCAGCGGUGCCACGAGGGCACCAGUCCAGGCCCCGGCCGUGAUGACGAGCCGUGGGGCUCGGUACACGCCAGCGGUGGUGGUGACGGUGAGCAUGGCCCCGGGUUCAAUGUGCAGCACCUUCUCCCCGUCCUGCAGGGUGCCCCCGUGCCGGCGGAAGACAUCCUGGGUGGGGAUGGAGACAGGAGGUGGCUGCAGGGACAGAGCCGGGGGACACCC
rnacentral:lncRNA from 1 species